rnacentral:rRNA from 1 species
GUUAUAUGGUCAAGUGAAGAAGCGCAUACGGUGGAUGCCUUGGCAGUCAGAGGCGAUGAAAGACGUGGUAGCCUGCGAAAAGCUUCGGGGAGUCGGCAAACAGACUUUGAUCCGGAGAUCUCUGAAUGGGGGAACCCACCUAGGAUAACCUAGGUAUCUUGUACUGAAUCCAUAGGUGCAAGAGGCGAACCAGGGGAACUGAAACAUCUAAGUACCCUGAGGAAAAGAAAUCAACCGAGAUUCCCUUAGUAGUGGCGAGCGAACGGGGAUUAGCCCUUAAGCUUCAUUGAUUUUAGCGGAACGCUCUGGAAAGUGCGGCCAUAGUGGGUGAUAGCCCCGUACGCGAAAGGAUCUUUGAAGUGAAAUCGAGUAGGACGGAGCACGAGAAACUUUGUCUGAACAUGGGGGGACCAUCCUCCAAGGCUAAAUACUACUGACUGACCGAUAGUGAACCAGUACCGUGAGGGAAAGGCGAAAAGAACCCCGGAGAGGGGAGUGAAAUAGAACCUGAAACCGUAUGCGUACAAGCAGUGGGAGCCUACUUGUUAGGUGACUGCGUACCUUUUGUAUAAUGGGUCAGCGACUUAUAUUCAGUGGCAAGCUUAACCGUAUAGGGUAGGCGUAGCGAAAGCGAGUCUUAAUAGGGCGUUUAGUCGCUGGGUAUAGACCCGAAACCGGGCGAUCUAUCCAUGAGCAGGUUGAAGGUUAGGUAACACUGACUGGAGGACCGAACCCACUCCCGUUGAAAAGGUAGGGGAUGACUUGUGGAUCGGAGUGAAAGGCUAAUCAAGCUCGGAGAUAGCUGGUUCUCCUCGAAAGCUAUUUAGGUAGCGCCUCAUGUAUCACUCUGGGGGGUAGAGCACUGUUUCGGCUAGGGGGUCAUCCCGACUUACCAAACCGAUGCAAACUCCGAAUACCCAGAAGUGCCGAGCAUGGGAGACACACGGCGGGUGCUAACGUCCGUCGUGAAAAGGGAAACAACCCAGACCGCCAGCUAAGGUCCCAAAGUUGUGGUUAAGUGGUAAACGAUGUGGGAAGGCUUAGACAGCUAGGAGGUUGGCUUAGAAGCAGCCAUCCUUUAAAGAAAGCGUAAUAGCUCACUAGUCGAGUCGGCCUGCGCGGAAGAUGUAACGGGGCUCAAACCACACACCGAAGCUGCGGGUGUCACGUAAGUGACGCGGUAGAGGAGCGUUCUGUAAGCCUGUGAAGGUGAGUUGAGAAGCUUGCUGGAGGUAUCAGAAGUGCGAAUGCUGACAUGAGUAACGACAAUGGGUGUGAAAAACACCCACGCCGAAAGACCAAGGGUUCCUGCGCAACGUUAAUCGACGCAGGGUUAGUCGGUUCCUAAGGCGAGGCUGAAAAGCGUAGUCGAUGGGAAACAGGUUAAUAUUCCUGUACUUCUGGUUACUGCGAUGGAGGGACGGAGAAGGCUAGGCCAGCUUGGCGUUGGUUGUCCAAGUUUAAGGUGGUAGGCUGAAAUCUUAGGUAAAUCCGGGGUUUCAAGGCCGAGAGCUGAUGACGAGUCGUCUUUUAGAUGACGAAGUGGUUGAUGCCAUGCUUCCAAGAAAAGCUUCUAAGCUUCAGGUAACCAGGAACCGUACCCCAAACCGACACAGGUGGUCGGGUAGAGAAUACCAAGGCGCUUGAGAGAACUCGGGUGAAGGAACUAGGCAAAAUGGCACCGUAACUUCGGGAGAAGGUGCGCCGGCUAGGGUGAAGGAUUUACUCCGUAAGCUCUGGCUGGUCGAAGAUACCAGGCCGCUGCGACUGUUUAUUAAAAACACAGCACUCUGCAAACACGAAAGUGGACGUAUAGGGUGUGACGCCUGCCCGGUGCCGGAAGGUUAAUUGAUGGGGUUAGCGCAAGCGAAGCUCUUGAUCGAAGCCCCGGUAAACGGCGGCCGUAACUAUAACGGUCCUAAGGUAGCGAAAUUCCUUGUCGGGUAAGUUCCGACCUGCACGAAUGGCGUAACGAUGGCGGCGCUGUCUCCACCCGAGACUCAGUGAAAUUGAAAUCGCUGUGAAGAUGCAGUGUAUCCGCGGCUAGACGGAAAGACCCCGUGAACCUUUACUGUAGCUUUGCACUGGACUUUGAGCCUGCUUGUGUAGGAUAGGUGGGAGGCUUUGAAGCGUGGACGCCAGUUCGCGUGGAGCCAUCCUUGAAAUACCACCCUGGCAUGCUUGAGGUUCUAACUCUGGUCCGUGAUCCGGAUCGAGGACAGUGUAUGGUGGGCAGUUUGACUGGGGCGGUCUCCUCCUAAAGAGUAACGGAGGAGUACGAAGGUGCGCUCAGACCGGUCGGAAAUCGGUCGUAGAGUAUAAAGGCAAAAGCGCGCUUGACUGCGAGACAGACACGUCGAGCAGGUACGAAAGUAGGUCUUAGUGAUCCGGUGGUUCUGUAUGGAAGGGCCAUCGCUCAACGGAUAAAAGGUACUCCGGGGAUAACAGGCUGAUACCGCCCAAGAGUUCAUAUCGACGGCGGUGUUUGGCACCUCGAUGUCGGCUCAUCACAUCCUGGGGCUGAAGCCGGUCCCAAGGGUAUGGCUGUUCGCCAUUUAAAGUGGUACGCGAGCUGGGUUUAGAACGUCGUGAGACAGUUCGGUCCCUAUCUGCCGUGGACGUUUGAGAUUUGAGAGGGGCUGCUCCUAGUACGAGAGGACCGGAGUGGACGAACCUCUGGUGUUCCGGUUGUCACGCCAGUGGCAUUGCCGGGUAGCUAUGUUCGGAAAAGAUAAU